rnacentral:rRNA from 1 species
AUUGAACGCUGGCGGCAGGCCUAACGCAUGCAAGUCGAACGGCAGCACAGAAGAGCUUGCUCUUUGGGUGGCGAGUGGCGGACGGGUGAGUAAUGUCUGGGAAACUGCCCGAUGGAGGGGGAUAACUACUGGAAACGGUAGCUAAUACCGCAUAACGUCGCAAGUCCAAAGUGGGGGACCUUCGGGCCUCACACCAUCGGACGUGCCCAGAUGGGAUUAGCUAGUAGGUGGGGUAAUGGCUCACCUAGGCGACGAUCCCUAGCUGGUCUGAGAGGAUGACCAGCCACACUGGAACUGAGACACGGUCCAGACUCCUACGGGAGGCAGCAGUGGGGAAUAUUGCACAAUGGGCGCAAGCCUGAUGCAGCCAUGCCGCGUGUAUGAAGAAGGCCUUCGGGUUGUAAAGUACUUUCAGCGGGGAGGAAGGCGGUGAGGUUAAUAACCUUGCCGAUUGACGUUACCCGCAGAAGAAGCACCGGCUAACUCCGUGCCAGCAGCCGCCGUAAAAC